UCGGGGUACUCGAGUGGCGAACGGGUGAGUAACACGUGGGCAAUCUGCCCUGCACACCGGGAUAAGCCUGGGAAACUGGGUCUAAUACCGAAUAGGACCACUUGGCGCAUGCCUUGUGGUGGAAAGCUUUUGCGGUGUGGGAUGGGCCCGCGGCCUAUCAGCUUGUUGGUGGGGUGACGGCCUACCAAGGCGACGACGGGUAGCCGGCCUGAGAGGGUGUCCGGCCACACUGGGACUGAGAUACGGCCCAGACUCCUACGGGAGGCAGCAGUGGGGAAUAUUGCACAAUGGGCGCAAGCCUGAUGCAGCGACGCCGCGUGGGGGAUGACGGCCUUCGGGUUGUAAACCUCUUUCACCAUCGACGAAGGUCCGGGUUUUCUCGGAUUGACGGUAGGUGGAGAAGAAGCACCGGCCAACUACGUGCCAGCAGCCGCGGUAAUACGUAGGGUGCGAGCGUUGUCCGGAAUUACUGGGCGUAAAGAGCUCGUAGGUGGUUUGUCGCGUUGUUCGUGAAAUCUCACGGCUUAACUGUGAGCGUGCGGGCGAUACGGGCAGACUAGAGUACUGCAGGGGAGACUGGAAUUCCUGGUGUAGCGGUGGAAUGCGCAGAUAUCAGGAGGAACACCGGUGGCGAAGGCGGGUCUCUGGGCAGUAACUGACGCUGAGGAGCGAAAGCGUGGGGAGCGAACAGGAUUAGAUACCCUGGUAGUCCACGCCGUAAACGGUGGGUACUAGGUGUGGGUUUCCUUCCUUGGGAUCCGUGCCGUAGCUAACGCAUUAAGUACCCCGCCUGGGGAGUACGGCCGCAAGGCUAAAACUCAAAGGAAUUGACGGGGGCCCGCACAAGCGGCGGAGCAUGUGGAUUAAUUCGAUGCAACGCGAAGAACCUUACCUGGGUUUGACAUGCACAGGACGCGUCUAGAGAUAGGCGUUCCCUUGUGGCCUGUGUGCAGGUGGUGCAUGGCUGUCGUCAGCUCGUGUCGUGAGAUGUUGGGUUAAGUCCCGCAACGAGCGCAACCCUUGUCUCAUGUUGCCAGCGGGUAAUGCCGGGGACUCGUGAGAGACUGCCGGGGUCAACUCGGAGGAAGGUGGGGAUGACGUCAAGUCAUCAUGCCCCUUAUGUCCAGGGCUUCACACAUGCUACAAUGGCCGGUACAAAGGGCUGCGAUGCCGCGAGGUUAAGCGAAUCCUUUUAAAGCCGGUCUCAGUUCGGAUCGGGGUCUGCAACUCGACCCCGUGAAGUCGGAGUCGCUAGUAAUCGCAGAUCAGCAACGCUGCGGUGAAUACGUUCCCGGGCCUUGUACACACCGCCCGUCACGUCAUGAAAGUCGGUAACACCCGAAGCCACU
rnacentral:rRNA from 1 species